CUCUGGAAGCUUUCUUUUCAGUUUCAAUGGCAAUUCCGACAUCGUUUCUCACUUUAAAAACAAAGAAAGCCAACCUCUACAGACUUACACUCACCACAAUCCUAUGCACUGUCUUUUACUUCAUAGGUUUCUACCAAAAUUCCCGUGGCAAUAUCCCUCUCGUCAAUCCAUCUUCCGCCACCUCCAUAUUCUCCUGCGCUCCACCAAUUCGUAACGCCACCCUCGACUUCUUACCUCACCACUACGCCCCUGACCCUCCGCUCACGUGGGCGCGUGUAUCUUACCUCCCUCCAUGCGACCCCAAAUACUCUGAGUACACCCCA
rnacentral:misc_RNA from 1 species